GAGGGCGUGCUGGCCGUGUGCAGCCUGGAGUUUGUUACAGACUAUAUCCAAAAAUGAUCCAUGAUGCAAUGCUCCAAUAUCAGUUACCUGAAAUUCUCCGAACACCUUUGCAAGAGCUAUGCCUCCACAUCAAAAGUUUGCAGCUUGGAGCUGUUGGGUCUUUUUUGGCUAAGGCACUUCAGCCACCAGAUCCUCUUGCUGUUCAAAAUGCAAUCGAACUUCUCAAAACCAUUGGAGCUUUAGAUGACAUAGAGGGGCUUACUCCGCUUGGUUUGUAUCAGUUAUGCAAGUCUCUACUGAAUAACAGCUCUGGUAGUUGACUGACAAAUCUUACAUGACAGGUCACCAUCUUUGCACACUACCAUUGGAUCCAAACAUUGGGAAAAUGCUUCUAAUGGGUUCUAUCUUUCAAUGCCUGAAUCCUGCCUUAACAAUUGCAGCUGCCCUUGCUCAUCGUGACCCUUUUGUCCUACCAUUAAAUAGGAAAGAGGAUGCUGAUGCUGCAAAACAAUCCUUUGCUGGUGAUUCAUUCAGGUAAAGCUCAUUAAGCUGAGCCGCAUUGCUGAAUUUUACAAGGUUUAUCUUGUUCCUCUUGCUUAUUUUAUUUAUCUAUUUUAUGUAGUGAUCACAUAGCUGUUGUCAAGGCUUUUGAAGGAUGGAAGGAAGCCAAACAUAACGGAACGGGAAAAACAUUCUGUUGGGAUAACUUUUUAUCCCCGGUAACGUUGCAGAUGAUGGAGGAUAUGAGGAUCCAGUUUCUAGAUCUAUUAUCAAAUAUUGGCUUUCUUGACAAAUCCAGGGGUGCUAACGUAAGCUCUUUAGAUUUUAAGGGCCCAUUUGGUAACAUUUUUGUGUUCUGUUUUUUUUAAUUUUUUUUUUAAUUUUUGGAUUGAAAAUAGGGAGUGGGGAGGGAGAGAGAAGAAAGAGUUAGGUGUGAGAAACAAUAAAUAUAUGUAGAACGACAUUUAAGUAAAAACUGAAACAAUUAACAAAAUGUUUUUAGUUUUCAGUUUUAAUUCGUCUAUUCGCCCUCCAUCUCUUUAUCAUUUCUCUUAUUUCUCUCAUCUAAAACAAAAAACAAAAAAUAAAAAUGUAACCAAAUGAACUCCAAGUUUUUUUCUUGUAAAAGUGCUAUUUUCCUUUUAAUUAUGAUCUUGUUGAUGCUGCACUUAAUCAACUGUUAUUCUCUCUCAAUCCACCUUCCAAGUAAUGUGCUAAAGUGGCCUCUGCCUUAACUAAAUAUAACAUGUGCAUGCAGGCUUACAAUCAAUACAGCCAUGACCUGGAGAUGGUAUGUGCAAUCCUCUGUGCUGGGCUCUAUCCGAAUGUUGUGCAGUGUAAAAGAAGAGGAAAGCGGACAGCAUUCUAUACUAAAGAAGUUGGUAAAAUUGAUAUCCAUCCUGCAUCGGUCAAUGCUGGGGUUCAUUUAUUCCCUCUCCCUUACAUGGUUUAUAGUGAAAAAGUGAAGACAACCAACAUUUUCAUUCGAGACUCUACAAAUAUAUCAGAUUAUGCUUUACUUCUGUUUGGUGGUAGUCUUAUCCCUAGCAAGACUGGUGAGGGUAUUGAGAUGCUUGGAGGUUACCUUCAUUUCUCUGCAUCAAAGAGUGUUUUAGAAUUAAUUCGGGUAAUGCCUCUCAAGAUCUCAUGUUAAAUUUGUCAUCUCUAGUAUGGCAGCUGCUCCUACCCAUUUUAUUUAGAUAGUCAAAACAAUGUCUUGAAUAGUUGUCUUUGGUUAUCGAUUCUUGCAGAAAUUGCGUGGUGAACUUGACAAGCUUCUAAACAGGAAGAUUGACAACCCAGGAUUGGACGUCUCAAGCGAGGGAAAGGGAGUGGUUUCGGCUGUGGUUGAGCUAUUGCAUAGUCAAAAUGUACGAUAUUAAAUCAUUUGUUCCUUAUGGAUCGUCACAGUUUUGAAGUCAACUCAUUUUUCUUUACAGUAGAAGAUAGUGUGUUGCGGUAAAAUUUUGUCCCUUAUUAUGUAAUGCAGUUCGCGGUGUGAAUGUACCCUUUUGAUAAGUUAUCUUUGUUGACAGGGUUUAAAAUGAUGUUUAGUUUAAUAAAUUUCUAGUAAAAAUAGGAGGUUAACAAUAAACAAUUGUUAAUUUCAUUUUAAAUCUAAACAACUCUUAAUAUUGGAUUAAGUCAAUCAUUACCUUAAUAUGUUGUUCUUAUAUUGUUUUUAAUACACUUAAAUAAUUAUUAACUUUUAAUGUUGUGAAAUUUUUUAUGGGUUCAGAUUCUUUGCUUUGUUAGGAUCUACUUGACUUUUAAUAUUUACAUGUUCGAGCCUAAUUGAGUCCUUAGUAUUUCAAAAAUAGAAUAUUAAGUAAUAAUAAUAAUUAAAAUAUAAUUACUGAUUUAACAAAUUAAAUGAGGCAAAGAUAUUAUUUAAUUACCAAAAAUAAAAUUUUAAAAAAUUAAUUAAACUAAAAAUACUAAAUUUAUGAUUAUUUUUUUUAAAAUAAUUGUAUAGCCGACCGGCUAUGUUAGUUUUUUUUAAUUUUAUUUAAAAAUUAGUAUAGCCACGUGGCUUUACUAGUUUUUACUCAUGGAGACCUAGCCGCUAGGCGAGUCUUCUUUUAUUAUAUAUAUAUAUAGGGUAAUGCUAGGCUUACCACAUUUUUAUACCACAUUGUGUACCACCUCUCUAAUAGAGGUGGAGUCCACCAAUACAAUGGGGCUUACCUCUAUUAGAGAGGUGGUACACAAUGUAGUAUGAAAAAUGUGGUAAGCCUAGCAUUUUCCAUAUACAUAUAUGUAUAUGAAUAGUACAACCGAGCGGUUAUACCUGGCUAUACUAUUCAAAAAAAAUUAUAAAAAGGACCCUCCUAUUUGCAUUAGUUUGUACUUUAUAGAUCUUAAUUUGGUAGUUUCAACAUAUCCAAAGUAGAUAUUAAUCUUCCACUAUAUAAUAUUUCAAUUUUUUUUUUAUAACAUAUAUUAUUCUUAUUCAAUAAUAUGUGAGAAUUAUUUGUAUAAUACGUGCAUUUUCUCUGUCUUAAUGAAAAUUUUGUAAAAACAAAAGUGUAUUAAAUGUUAGAAAUACCUACGUACAUGUACAAUAUGACUAUUGUAUGUUUGCUUAUUAAAAAAAGUGAGACGUGUAUAGAAUACUAAUAUAUUUUUGAAAAAUAUGUGUGUGUGUGUGUGUAUCUAUAUAUAUGUGUGUGUGUGUGUGUAAAAUCUUAUAGCCGCUCUCUAUAUUAUUUAAUAAAGACAAAUUUUAAAUUUAAAAAAAAAAAACAGUAAAGCCGCUCUCUAUACUAUGUUUUUAACCAAAAAUGUCGUAUAGCCACUCGGAUUUAAAUUUUUUUUUAAUUUUCAAAAGGACCCUCCUAUUUGCCCUAGUUUGUACUUUAUAGACCUUCAUUCAGCCCAUGUAUUUUUUAAAAAAAUUUCAAAACAGAGUCUAGCCGUGGGGCUAUACUUCUUAAUUAAAAAAUUAAUGAUAAAAAAGGACCCUCCUACUUGCAUUGGUUUGUACCUUAUGGAUAUUAAUUUGCAACCUAUCCAAAAUAGAUAUUAAUCUUCCACUGUUUGAUAUUUUAAUAUAAUUUUUAUACCACAUGUUAUUAUUAUUCAAUAAUGCGUGAGAAUUAUUUGUAUAAUACGUGAAUUUUGUGUGUCUUAUUGAAAAUUUCCUCAAAAAUACGUGUACAAAACAUUAGAAAUACGUACGUAUAUGUACAAUACGACUAUUGUAUGUUUGCUUUUUAAAGAAAACGUGAGACGUGUAUGGAACACGAGUGUAUUGUUGAAAAAUACGUACCUACAUAUGUGUGUGUGUGUGUGUGUACUGAGUAUAGCCGUGCGGCUAUACUGUUUUCAAAUAUAAAAAAGCCCCCUCCCAAGCAUCAAGAGCCACGUGUCAAGUUAAAAAAAUUUCAAAACAGAGUAUAGCCGUGCGGCUAUACUAUUUUUAAUAUAAAAAAGGUCCCCAAUCAAUAGGCGCCACGUGUCAGCCCAUGUAUUUUUUUAUAAAAAUUUCAAAACAGAGUAUAGCCGUGCGGCUAUACUAUGUUUAAUAUAAAAAAGGUCCCCAAUCAUUAGGCGCCACGUGUCAGCCCAUGUAUUUUUUUAUAAAAAUUUCAAAACAAAGUAUAGCCGUGCGGCUAUACUAUUUCUAAAUAUAAAAAGGGUCCCCAAUCAUUAGGCGCCAUGUGUCAGGCCAGGUAUUUUUAAAAAAAAUUUCAAAACAGAGUAUAGCCGCGCGGCUAUACUAUUUCUAAAUAUAAAAAAGGGUCCCCAAUCAUUAGGCGCCAUGUGUCAGCCAAGGUAUUUUUCAAAAAAAUUUCAAAACGGAGUAUAGCCGUGCGGCUAUACUAUUUUUAAUAUAAAAAGGUCCCCAAUCAUUAGGCGCCACGUGUCAGCCCAGGUAUUUUUAAAAAAAUUUCAAAACAGAGUAUAGCCGUGCGGCUAUACUAUUUCGAAAUAUAAAAACGUUCCCCAAUCAUUCUGCGCCACGUGUCAGCCCAUGUGUUUUUAAAAAAAUUUCAAAACAGAGUAUAGCCGUGCGGCUAUACUAUUUUUAUUAUAAAAAAGUCCCCAAUCGUUAGGCGCCACGUGUCAGCCCAUGUAUUUUAAAAAAAAAUUCAAAACAGAGUAUAGCCGUGCGGCUAUACUAUUUCUAGAUAUUAAAAAGGUCCCCAGCGUCACGUGGCUGCCCAUGUUUUUAAAAUUUUUUUGAAAACUGAGUAUAGCCGUGCGGCUAUACUAUUUUUAAAUAUAAAAAACACCCCACCCAUUAAGCGCCACGUGUCAACACAUGCCUUUUUAAAAAAAAUAUUAAAAACACGGAGUAUAGCCGGUCGGCUCUACUCCCCCUUUUUUUUAAAAAAAAAAAGAAAAAAAAGAGCCUCCAUUGUUUUAAGCCACGUGUCAAAAAAGGUAUACCCGAACGGCUAUACUGUUUUUAUUGUAAAAGUCUUUUGUAUAGCCGUGGGGCUAUACUGCUUAAUUAAAAAAUUAAUGAUAAAAAAGGACCCUCCUACUUGCAUUGGUUUGUACCUUAUGGAUAUUAAUUUGCAACCUAUCCAAAAUAGAUAUUAAUCUUCCACUGUUUGAUAUUUUAAUAUAAUUUUUAUACCACAUGUUAUUAUUAUUCAAUAAUGCGUGAGAAUUAUUUGUAUAAUACGUGAAUUUUGUGUGUCUUAUUGAAAAUUUCCUCAAAAAUACGUGUACAAAACAUUAGAAAUACGUACGUAUAUGUACAAUACGACUAUUGUAUGUUUGCUUUUUAAAGAAAACGUGAGACGUGUAUGGAACACGAGUGUAUUGUUGAAAAAUACGUACCUACAUAUGUGUGUGUGUGUGUGUACCUGAGUAUAGCCGCGCGGCUAUACUGUUUUCAAAUAUAAAAAAGCCCCCCUCCCAGGCAUCAAGAGCCACGUGUCAAGUUAAAAAAAUUUCAACACAGAGUAUAGCCGUGCGGCUAUACUAUUUUUAAUAUAAAAAAGGUCCCCAAUCAAUAGGCGCCACGUGUCAGCCCAUGUAUUUUUUUAUAAAAAUUUCAAAACAGAGUAUAGCCGUGCGGCUAUACUAUGUUUAAUAUAAAAAAGGUCCCCAAUCAUUAGGCGCCACGUGUCAGCCCAUGUAUUUUUUUAUAAAAAUUUCAAAACAAAGUAUAGCCGUGCGGCUAUACUAUUUCUAAAUAUAAAAAGGGUCCCCAAUCAUUAGGCGCCAUGUGUCAGGCCAGGUAUUUUUAAAAAAAAUUUCAAAACAGAGUAUAGCCGCGCGGCUAUACUAUUUCUAAAUAUAAAAAAGGGUCCCCAAUCAUUAGGCGCCAUGUGUCAGCCAAGGUAUUUUUCAAAAAAAUUUCAAAACGGAGUAUAGCCGUGCGGCUAUACUAUUUUUAAUAUAAAAAGGUCCCCAAUCAUUAGGCGCCACGUGUCAGCCCAGGUAUUUUUAAAAAAAUUUCAAAACAGAGUAUAGCCGUGCGGCUAUACUAUUUCGAAAUAUAAAAACGUUCCCCAAUCAUUCUGCGCCACGUGUCAGCCCAUGUGUUUUUAAAAAAAUUUCAAAACAGAGUAUAGCCGUGCGGCUAUACUAUUUUUAUUAUAAAAAAGUCCCCAAUCGUUAGGCGCCACGUGUCAGCCCAUGUAUUUUAAAAAAAAAUUCAAAACAGAGUAUAGCCGUCCGGCUAUACUAUUUCUAGAUAUUAAAAAGGUCCCCAGCGUCACGUGGCUGCCCAUGUUUUUAAAAUUUUUUUGAAGACUGAGUAUAGCCGUGCGGCUAUACUAUUUUUAAAUAUAAAAAACACCCCACCCAUUAAGCGCCACGUGUCAACACAUGCCUUUUUAAAAAAAAUAUUAAAAACACGGAGUAUAGCCGGUCGGCUCUACGCUCCCUUUUUUUAAAAAAAAAAAAGAAAAAAAAGAGCCUCCAUUGUUUUAAGCCACGUGUCAAAAAAGGUAUAGCCGGCCGGCUAUACUGUUUUUAUUGUAAAAGUCUUUUGUAUAGCCGUGGGGCUAUACUGCUUAAUUAAAAAAUUAAUGAUAAAAAAGGACCCUCCUACUUGCAUUGGUUUGUACCUUAUGGAUAUUAAUUUGCAACCUAUCCAAAAUAGAUAUUAAUCUUCCACUGUUUGAUAUUUUAAUAUAAUUUUUAUACCACAUGUUAUUAUUAUUCAAUAAUGCGUGAGAAUUAUUUGUAUAAUACGUGAAUUUUGUGUGUCUUAUUGAAAAUUUCCUCAAAAAUACGUGUACAAAACAUUAGAAAUACGUACGUAUAUGUACAAUACGACUAUUGUAUGUUUGCUUUUUAAAGAAAACGUGAGACGUGUAUGGAACACGAGUGUAUUGUUGAAAAAUACGUACCUACAUAUGUGUGUGUGUGUGUGUGUGUACUGAGUAUAGCCGUGCGGCUAUACUGUUUUCAAAUAUAAAAAAGCCCCCCUCCCAAGCAUCAAGAGCCACGUGUCAAGUUAAAAAAAUUUCAAAACAGAGUAUAGCCGUGCGGCUAUACGAUUUUUAAUAUAAAAAAGGUCCCCAAUCAUUAGGCGCCACGUGUCAGCCCAUGUAUUUUUUAUAAAUAUUUCAAAACAGAGUAUAGCCGUGCGGCUAUACUAUUUUAAAUAUAAAAAGGGUCCCCAAUCAUUAGGCGCCACGUGUCAGCCCAGGUAUUUUAAAAAAAAAUUUCAAAACAGAGUAUAGCCGUGCGGCUACACUAUUUCGAAAUAUAAAAACGUUCCCCAAUCAUUCUGCGCCACGUGUCAGCCCAUGUGUUUUUAAAAAAUUUUCAAAACAGAGUAUAGCCGUGCGGCUAUACUAUUUUUAAUAUAAAAAAGGACCCCAAUCAUUAGGCGCCACGUGUCAGCCCAGGUAUUUUAAAAAAAAAUUUCAAUACAGAGUAUAGCCGUGCGGCUAGACUAUUUCGAAAUAUAAAAACGUUCCCCAAUCAUUCUGCGCCACGUGUCAGCCCAUGUGUUUUUAAAAAAAUUUCAAAACAGAGUAUAGCCGUGCGGCUAUACUAUUUUUAUUAUAAAAAAGUCCCCAAUCGUUAGGCGCCACGUGUCAGCCCAUGUAUUUUUAAAAAAAUUUCAAAACAGAGUAUAGCCGUGCGGCUAUACUAUUUCUAGAUAUUAAAAAGGUCCCCAGCGUCACGUGGCUGCCCAUGUUUUUAAAAUUUUUUUGAAAACUGAGUAUAGCCGUGCGGCUAUACUAUUUUUAAAUAUAAAAAACACCCCACCCAUUAAGCGCCACGUGUCAACACAUGCCUUUUUAAAAAAAAUAUUAAAAACACGGAGUAUAGCCGGUCGGCUCUACUCCCCCUUUUUUUUAAAAAAAAAAAGAAAAAAAAGAGCCUCCAUUGUUUUAAGCCACGUGUCAAAAAAGGUAUACCCGAACGGCUAUGCUGUUUUUAUUGUAAAAGUCUUUUGUAUAGCCGUGGGGCUAUACUGCUUAAUUAAAAAAUUAAUGAUAAAAAAAGGACCCUCCUACUUGCAUUGGUUUGUACCUUAUGGAUAUUAAUUUGCAACCUAUCCAAAAUAGAUAUUAAUCUUCCACUGUUUGAUAUUUUAAUAUAAUUUUUAUACCACAUGUUAUUAUUAUUCAAUAAUGCGUGAGAAUUAUUUGUAUAAUACGUGAAUUUUGUGUGUCUUAUUGAAAAUUUCCUCAAAAAUACGUGUACAAAACAUUAGAAAUACGUACGUAUAUGUACAAUACGACUAUUGUAUGUUUGCUUUUUAAAGAAAACGUGAGACGUGUAUGGAACACGAGUGUAUUGUUGAAAAAUACGUACCUACAUAUGUGUGUGUGUGUGUGUACCUGAGUAUAGCCGCGCGGCUAUACUGUUUUCAAAUAUAAAAAAGCCCCCCUCCCAGGCAUCAAGAGCCACGUGUCAAGUUAAAAAAAUUUCAAAACAGAGUAUAGCCGUGCGGCUAUACUAUUUUUAAUAUAAAAAAGGUCCCCAAUCAAUAGGCGCCACGUGUCAGCCCAUGUAUUUUUUUAUAAAAAUUUCAAAACAGAGUAUAGCCGUGCGGCUAUACUAUGUUUAAUAUAAAAAAGGUCCCCAAUCAUUAGGCGCCACGUGUCAGCCCAUGUAUUUUUUUAUAAAAAUUUCAAAACAAAGUAUAGCCGUGCGGCUAUACUAUUUCUAAAUAUAAAAAGGGUCCCCAAUCAUUAGGCGCCAUGUGUCAGGCCAGGUAUUUUUAAAAAAAAUUUCAAAACAGAGUAUAGCCGCGCGGCUAUACUAUUUCUAAAUAUAAAAAAGGGUCCCCAAUCAUUAGGCGCCAUGUGUCAGCCAAGGUAUUUUUCAAAAAAAUUUCAAAACGGAGUAUAGCCGUGCGGCUAUACUAUUUUUAAUAUAAAAAGGUCCCCAAUCAUUAGGCGCCACGUGUCAGCCCAGGUAUUUUUAAAAAAAUUUCAAAACAGAGUAUAGCCGUGCGGCUAUACUAUUUCGAAAUAUAAAAACGUUCCCCAAUCAUUCUGCGCCACGUGUCAGCCCAUGUGUUUUUAAAAAAAUUUCAAAACAGAGUAUAGCCGUGCGGCUAUACUAUUUUUAUUAUAAAAAAGUCCCCAAUCGUUAGGCGCCACGUGUCAGCCCAUGUAUUUUAAAAAAAAAUUCAAAACAGAGUAUAGCCGUCCGGCUAUACUAUUUCUAGAUAUUAAAAAGGUCCCCAGCGUCACGUGGCUGCCCAUGUUUUUAAAAUUUUUUUGAAAACUGAGUAUAGCCGUGCGGCUAUACUAUUUUUAAAUAUAAAAAACACCCCACCCAUUAAGCGCCACGUGUCAACACAUGCCUUUUUAAAAAAAAUAUUAAAAACACGGAGUAUAGCCGGUCGGCUCUACUCCCCCUUUUUUUUAAAAAAAAAAAGAAAAAAAAGAGCCUCCAUUGUUUUAAGCCACGUGUCAAAAAAGGUAUACCCGAACGGCUAUGCUGUUUUUAUUGUAAAAGUCUUUUGUAUAGCCGUGGGGCUAUACUGCUUAAUUAAAAAAUUAAUGAUAAAAAAGGACCCUCCUACUUGCAUUGGUUUGUACCUUAUGGAUAUUACUUUGCAACCUAUCCAAAAUAGAUAUUAAUCUUCCACUGUUUGAUAUUUUAAUAUAAUUUUUAUACCACAUGUUAUUAUUAUUCAAUAAUGCGUGAGAAUUAUUUGUAUAAUACGUGAAUUUUGUGUGUCUUAUUGAAAAUUUCCUCAAAAAUACGUGUACAAAACAUUAGAAAUACGUACGUAUAUGUACAAUACGACUAUUGUAUGUUUGCUUUUUAAAGAAAACGUGAGACGUGUAUGGAACACGAGUGUAUUGUUGAAAAAUACGUACCUACAUAUGUGUGUGUGUGUGUGUACCUGAGUAUAGCCGCGCGGCUAUACUGUUUUCAAAUAUAAAAAAGCCCCCCUCCCAGGCAUCAAGAGCCACGUGUCAAGUUAAAAAAAUUUCAAAACAGAGUAUAGCCGUGCGGCUAUACUAUUUUUAAUAUAAAAAAGGUCCCCAAUCAAUAGGCGCCACGUGUCAGCCCAUGUAUUUUUUUAUAAAAAUUUCAAAACAGAGUAUAGCCGUGCGGCUAUACUAUGUUUAAUAUAAAAAAGGUCCCCAAUCAUUAGGCGCCACGUGUCAGCCCAUGUAUUUUUUUAUAAAAAUUUCAAAACAAAGUAUAGCCGUGCGGCUAUACUAUUUCUAAAUAUAAAAAGGGUCCCCAAUCAUUAGGCGCCAUGUGUCAGGCCAGGUAUUUUUAAAAAAAAUUUCAAAACAGAGUAUAGCCGCGCGGCUAUACUAUUUCUAAAUAUAAAAAAGGGUCCCCAAUCAUUAGGCGCCAUGUGUCAGCCAAGGUAUUUUUCAAAAAAAUUUCAAAACGGAGUAUAGCCGUGCGGCUAUACGAUUUUUAAUAUAAAAAGGUCCCCAAUCAUUAGGCGCCACGUGUCAGCCCAGGUAUUUUUAAAAAAAUUUCAAAACAGAGUAUAGCCGUGCGGCUAUACUAUUUCGAAAUAUAAAAACGUUCCCCAAUCAUUCUGCGCCACGUGUCAGCCCAUGUGUUUUUAAAAAAAUUUCAAAACAGAGUAUAGCCGUGCGGCUAUACUAUUUUUAUUAUAAAAAAGUCCCCAAUCGUUAGGCGCCACGUGUCAGCCCAUGUAUUUUAAAAAAAAAUUCAAAACAGAGUAUAGCCGUCCGGCUAUACUAUUUCUAGAUAUUAAAAAGGUCCCCAGCGUCACGUGGCUGCCCAUGUUUUUAAAAUUUUUUUGAAGACUGAGUAUAGCCGUGCGGCUAUACUAUUUUUAAAUAUAAAAAACACCCCACCCAUUAAGCGCCACGUGUCAACACAUGCCUUUUUAAAAAAAAUAUUAAAAACACGGAGUAUAGCCGGUCGGCUCUACGCUCCCUUUUUUUAAAAAAAAAAAAGAAAAAAAAGAGCCUCCAUUGUUUUAAGCCACGUGUCAAAAAAGGUAUAGCCGGCCGGCUAUACUGUUUUUAUUGUAAAAGUCUUUUGUAUAGCCGUGGGGCUAUACUGCUUAAUUAAAAAAUUAAUGAUAAAAAAGGACCCUCCUACUUGCAUUGGUUUGUACCUUAUGGAUAUUAAUUUGCAACCUAUCCAAAAUAGAUAUUAAUCUUCCACUGUUUGAUAUUUUAAUAUAAUUUUUAUACCACAUGUUAUUAUUAUUCAAUAAUGCGUGAGAAUUAUUUGUAUAAUACGUGAAUUUUGUGUGUCUUAUUGAAAAUUUCCUCAAAAAUACGUGUACAAAACAUUAGAAAUACGUACGUAUAUGUACAAUACGACUAUUGUAUGUUUGCUUUUUAAAGAAAACGUGAGACGUGUAUGGAACACGAGUGUAUUGUUGAAAAAUACGUACCUACAUAUGUGUGUGUGUGUGUGUGUGUGUGUACCUGAGUAUAGCCGUGCGGCUAUACUGUUUUCAAAUAUAAAAAAGCCCCCUCCCAAGCAUCAAGAGCCACGUGUCAAGUUAAAAAAAUUUCAAAACAGAGUAUAGCCGUGCGGCUAUACUAUUUUUAAUAUAAAAAAGGUCCCCAAUCAAUAGGCGCCACGUGUCAGCCCAUGUAUUUUUUUAUAAAAAUUUCAAAACAGAGUAUAGCCGUGCGGCUAUACUAUGUUUAAUAUAAAAAAGGUCCCCAAUCAUUAGGCGCCACGUGUCAGCCCAUGUAUUUUUUUAUAAAAAUUUCAAAACAAAGUAUAGCCGUGCGGCUAUACUAUUUCUAAAUAUAAAAAGGGUCCCCAAUCAUUAGGCGCCAUGUGUCAGGCCAGGUAUUUUUAAAAAAAAUUUCAAAACAGAGUAUAGCCGUGCGGCUACACUAUUUCGAAAUAUAAAAACGUUCCCCAAUCAUUCUGCGCCACGUGUCAGCCCAUGUGUUUUUAAAAAAUUUUCAAAACAGAGUAUAGCCGUGCGGCUAUACUAUUUUUAAUAUAAAAAAGGACCCCAAUCAUUAGGCGCCACGUGUCAGCCCAGGUAUUUUAAAAAAAAAUUUCAAUACAGAGUAUAGCCGUGCGGCUAGACUAUUUCGAAAUAUAAAAACGUUCCCCAAUCAUUCUGCGCCACGUGUCAGCCCAUGUGUUUUUAAAAAAAUUUCAAAACAGAGUAUAGCCGUGCGGCUAUACUAUUUUUAUUAUAAAAAAGUCCCCAAUCGUUAGGCGCCACGUGUCAGCCCAUGUAUUUUUAAAAAAAUUUCAAAACAGAGUAUAGCCGUGCGGCUAUACUAUUUCUAGAUAUUAAAAAGGUCCCCAGCGUCACGUGGCUGCCCAUGUUUUUAAAAUUUUUUUGAAAACUGAGUAUAGCCGUGCGGCUAUACUAUUUUUAAAUAUAAAAAACACCCCACCCAUUAAGCGCCACGUGUCAACACAUGCCUUUUUAAAAAAAAUAUUAAAAACACGGAGUAUAGCCGGUCGGCUCUACUCCCCCUUUUUUUUAAAAAAAAAAAGAAAAAAAAGAGCCUCCAUUGUUUUAAGCCACGUGUCAAAAAAGGUAUACCCGAACGGCUAUACUGUUUUUAUUGUAAAAGUCUUUUGUAUAGCCGUGGGGCUAUACUGCUUAAUUAAAAAAUUAAUGAUAAAAAAAGGACCCUCCUACUUGCAUUGGUUUGUACCUUAUGGAUAUUAAUUUGCAACCUAUCCAAAAUAGAUAUUAAUCUUCCACUGUUUGAUAUUUUAAUAUAAUUUUUAUACCACAUGUUAUUAUUAUUCAAUAAUGCGUGAGAAUUAUUUGUAUAAUACGUGAAUUUUGUGUGUCUUAUUGAAAAUUUCCUCAAAAAUACGUGUACAAAACAUUAGAAAUACGUACGUAUAUGUACAAUACGACUAUUGUAUGUUUGCUUUUUAAAGAAAACGUGAGACGUGUAUGGAACACGAGUGUAUUGUUGAAAAAUACGUACCUACAUAUGUGUGUGUGUGUGUGUGUGUGUGUACCUGAGUAUAGCCGUGCGGCUAUACUGUUUUCAAAUAUAAAAAAGCCCCCUCCCAAGCAUCAAGAGCCACGUGUCAAGUUAAAAAAAUUUCAAAACAGAGUAUAGCCGUGCGGCUAUACUAUUUUUAAUAUAAAAAAGGUCCCCAAUCAAUAGGCGCCACGUGUCAGCCCAUGUAUUUUUUUAUAAAAAUUUCAAAACAGAGUAUAGCCGUGCGGCUAUACUAUGUUUAAUAUAAAAAAGGUCCCCAAUCAUUAGGCGCCACGUGUCAGCCCAUGUAUUUUUUUAUAAAAAUUUCAAAACAAAGUAUAGCCGUGCGGCUAUACUAUUUCUAAAUAUAAAAAGGGUCCCCAAUCAUUAGGCGCCAUGUGUCAGGCCAGGUAUUUUUAAAAAAAAUUUCAAAACAGAGUAUAGCCGCGCGGCUAUACUAUUUCUAAAUAUAAAAAAGGGUCCCCAAUCAUUAGGCGCCAUGUGUCAGCCAAGGUAUUUUUCAAAAAAAUUUCAAAACGGAGUAUAGCCGUGCGGCUAUACUAUUUUUAAUAUAAAAAGUUCCCCAAUCAUUCUGCGCCACGUGUCAGCCCAUGUGUUUUUAAAAAAAUUUCAAAACAGAGUAUAGCCGUGCGGCUAUACUAUUUUUAUUAUAAAAAAGUCCCCAAUCGUUAGGCGCCACGUGUCAGCCCAUGUAUUUUUAAAAAAAUUUCAAAACAGAGUAUAGCCGUGCGGCUAUACUAUUUCUAGAUAUUAAAAAGGUCCCCAGCGUCACGUGGCUGCCCAUGUUUUUAAAAUUUUUUUGAAAACUGAGUAUAGCCGUGCGGCUAUACUAUUUUUAAAUAUAAAAAACACCCCACCCAUUAAGCGCCACGUGUCAACACAUGCCUUUUUAAAAAAAAUAUUAAAAACACGGAGUAUAGCCGGUCGGCUCUACUCCCCCUUUUUUUUUAAAAAAAAAAGAAAAAAAAGAGCCUCCAUUGUUUUAAGCCACGUGUCAAAAAAGGUAUACCCGAACGGCUAUACUGUUUUUAUUGUAAAAGUCUUUUGUAUAGCCGUGGGGCUAUACUGCUUAAUUAAAAAAUUAAUGAUAAAAAAAGGACCCUCCUACUUGCAUUGGUUUGUACCUUAUGGAUAUUAAUUUGCAACCUAUCCAAAAUAGAUAUUAAUCUUCCACUGUUUGAUAUUUUAAUAUAAUUUUUAUACCACAUGUUAUUAUUAUUCAAUAAUGCGUGAGAAUUAUUUGUAUAAUACGUGAAUUUUGUGUGUCUUAUUGAAAAUUUCCUCAAAAAUACGUGUACAAAACAUUAGAAAUACGUACGUAUAUGUACAAUACGACUAUUGUAUGUUUGCUUUUUAAAGAAAACGUGAGACGUGUAUGGAACACGAGUGUAUUGUUGAAAAAUACGUACCUACAUAUGUGUGUGUGUGUGUGUACCUGAGUAUAGCCGCGCGGCUAUACUGUUUUCAAAUAUAAAAAAGCCCCCCUCCCAGGCAUCAAGAGCCACGUGUCAAGUUAAAAAAAUUUCAAAACAGAGUAUAGCCGUGCGGCUAUACUAUUUUUAAUAUAAAAAAGGUCCCCAAUCAAUAGGCGCCACGUGUCAGCCCAUGUAUUUUUUUAUAAAAAUUUCAAAACAGAGUAUAGCCGUGCGGCUAUACUAUGUUUAAUAUAAAAAAGGUCCCCAAUCAUUAGGCGCCACGUGUCAGCCCAUGUAUUUUUUUAUAAAAAUUUCAAAACAAAGUAUAGCCGUGCGGCUAUACUAUUUCUAAAUAUAAAAAGGGUCCCCAAUCAUUAGGCGCCAUGUGUCAGGCCAGGUAUUUUUAAAAAAAAUUUCAAAACAGAGUAUAGCCGCGCGGCUAUACUAUUUCUAAAUAUAAAAAAGGGUCCCCAAUCAUUAGGCGCCAUGUGUCAGCCAAGGUAUUUUUCAAAAAAAUUUCAAAACGGAGUAUAGCCGUGCGGCUAUACUAUUUUUAAUAUAAAAAGGUCCCCAAUCAUUAGGCGCCACGUGUCAGCCCAGGUAUUUUUAAAAAAAUUUCAAAACAGAGUAUAGCCGUGCGGCUAUACUAUUUCGAAAUAUAAAAACGUUCCCCAAUCAUUCUGCGCCACGUGUCAGCCCAUGUGUUUUUAAAAAAAUUUCAAAACAGAGUAUAGCCGUGCGGCUAUACUAUUUUUAUUAUAAAAAAGUCCCCAAUCGUUAGGCGCCACGUGUCAGCCCAUGUAUUUUAAAAAAAAAUUCAAAACAGAGUAUAGCCGUCCGGCUAUACUAUUUCUAGAUAUUAAAAAGGUCCCCAGCGUCACGUGGCUGCCCAUGUUUUUAAAAUUUUUUUGAAGACUGAGUAUAGCCGUGCGGCUAUACUAUUUUUAAAUAUAAAAAACACCCCACCCAUUAAGCGCCACGUGUCAACACAUGCCUUUUUAAAAAAAAUAUUAAAAACACGGAGUAUAGCCGGUCGGCUCUACGCUCCCUUUUUUUAAAAAAAAAAAAGAAAAAAAAGAGCCUCCAUUGUUUUAAGCCACGUGUCAAAAAAGGUAUAGCCGGCCGGCUAUACUGUUUUUAUUGUAAAAGUCUUUUGUAUAGCCGUGGGGCUAUACUGCUUAAUUAAAAAAUUAAUGAUAAAAAAGGACCCUCCUACUUGCAUUGGUUUGUACCUUAUGGAUAUUACUUUGCAACCUAUCCAAAAUAGAUAUUAAUCUUCCACUGUUUGAUAUUUUAAUAUAAUUUUUAUACCACAUGUUAUUAUUAUUCAAUAAUGCGUGAGAAUUAUUUGUAUAAUACGUGAAUUUUGUGUGUCUUAUUGAAAAUUUCCUCAAAAAUACGUGUACAAAACAUUAGAAAUACGUACGUAUAUGUACAAUACGACUAUUGUAUGUUUGCUUUUUAAAGAAAACGUGAGACGUGUAUGGAACACGAGUGUAUUGUUGAAAAAUACGUACCUACAUAUGUGUGUGUGUGUGUGUGUGUACUGAGUAUAGCCGUGCGGCUAUACUGUUUUCAAAUAUAAAAAAGCCCCCCUCCCAAGCAUCAAGAGCCACGUGUCAAGUUAAAAAAAUUUCAAAACAGAGUAUAGCCGUGCGGCUAUACGAUUUUUAAUAUAAAAAAGGUCCCCAAUCAUUAGGCGCCACGUGUCAGCCCAUGUAUUUUUUAUAAAUAUUUCAAAACAGAGUAUAGCCGUGCGGCUAUACUAUUUUAAAUAUAAAAAGGGUCCCCAAUCAUUAGGCGCCACGUGUCAGCCCAGGUAUUUUAAAAAAAAAUUUCAAAACAGAGUAUAGCCGUGCGGCUACACUAUUUCGAAAUAUAAAAACGUUCCCCAAUCAUUCUGCGCCACGUGUCAGCCCAUGUGUUUUUAAAAAAUUUUCAAAACAGAGUAUAGCCGUGCGGCUAUACUAUUUUUAAUAUAAAAAAGGACCCCAAUCAUUAGGCGCCACGUGUCAGCCCAGGUAUUUUAAAAAAAAAUUUCAAUACAGAGUAUAGCCGUGCGGCUAGACUAUUUCGAAAUAUAAAAACGUUCCCCAAUCAUUCUGCGCCACGUGUCAGCCCAUGUGUUUUUAAAAAAAUUUCAAAACAGAGUAUAGCCGUGCGGCUAUACUAUUUUUAUUAUAAAAAAGUCCCCAAUCGUUAGGCGCCACGUGUCAGCCCAUGUAUUUUUAAAAAAAUUUCAAAACAGAGUAUAGCCGUGCGGCUAUACUAUUUCUAGAUAUUAAAAAGGUCCCCAGCGUCACGUGGCUGCCCAUGUUUUUAAAAUUUUUUUGAAAACUGAGUAUAGCCGUGCGGCUAUACUAUUUUUAAAUAUAAAAAACACCCCACCCAUUAAGCGCCACGUGUCAACACAUGCCUUUUUAAAAAAAAUAUUAAAAACACGGAGUAUAGCCGGUCGGCUCUACUCCCCCUUUUUUUUAAAAAAAAAAAGAAAAAAAAGAGCCUCCAUUGUUUUAAGCCACGUGUCAAAAAAGGUAUACCCGAACGGCUAUACUGUUUUUAUUGUAAAAGUCUUUUGUAUAGCCGUGGGGCUAUACUGCUUAAUUAAAAAAUUAAUGAUAAAAAAAGGACCCUCCUACUUGCAUUGGUUUGUACCUUAUGGAUAUUAAUUUGCAACCUAUCCAAAAUAGAUAUUAAUCUUCCACUGUUUGAUAUUUUAAUAUAAUUUUUAUACCACAUGUUAUUAUUAUUCAAUAAUGCGUGAGAAUUAUUUGUAUAAUACGUGAAUUUUGUGUGUCUUAUUGAAAAUUUCCUCAAAAAUACGUGUACAAAACAUUAGAAAUACGUACGUAUAUGUACAAUACGACUAUUGUAUGUUUGCUUUUUAAAGAAAACGUGAGACGUGUAUGGAACACGAGUGUAUUGUUGAAAAAUACGUACCUACAUAUGUGUGUGUGUGUGUGUACCUGAGUAUAGCCGCGCGGCUAUACUGUUUUCAAAUAUAAAAAAGCCCCCCUCCCAGGCAUCAAGAGCCACGUGUCAAGUUAAAAAAAUUUCAAAACAGAGUAUAGCCGUACGGCUAUACUAUUUUUAAUAUAAAAAAGGUCCCCAAUCAAUAGGCGCCACGUGUCAGCCCAUGUAUUUUUUUAUAAAAAUUUCAAAACAGAGUAUAGCCGUGCGGCUAUACUAUGUUUAAUAUAAAAAAGGUCCCCAAUCAUUAGGCGCCACGUGUCAGCCCAUGUAUUUUUUUAUAAAAAUUUCAAAACAAAGUAUAGCCGUGCGGCUAUACUAUUUCUAAAUAUAAAAAGGGUCCCCAAUCAUUAGGCGCCAUGUGUCAGGCCAGGUAUUUUUAAAAAAAAUUUCAAAACAGAGUAUAGCCGCGCGGCUAUACUAUUUCUAAAUAUAAAAAAGGGUCCCCAAUCAUUAGGCGCCAUGUGUCAGCCAAGGUAUUUUUCAAAAAAAUUUCAAAACGGAGUAUAGCCGUGCGGCUAUACUAUUUUUAAUAUAAAAAGGUCCCCAAUCAUUAGGCGCCACGUGUCAGCCCAGGUAUUUUUAAAAAAAUUUCAAAACAGAGUAUAGCCGUGCGGCUAUACUAUUUCGAAAUAUAAAAACGUUCCCCAAUCAUUCUGCGCCACGUGUCAGCCCAUGUGUUUUUAAAAAAAUUUCAAAACAGAGUAUAGCCGUGCGGCUAUACUAUUUUUAUUAUAAAAAAGUCCCCAAUCGUUAGGCGCCACGUGUCAGCCCAUGUAUUUUAAAAAAAAAUUCAAACAGAGUAUAGCCGUCCGGCUAUACUAUUUCUAGAUAUAAAAAGUCCCCAGCGUCACGUGGCCUGCCCAUGUUUUUAAAGAUUUUUUUGAAAGACAGAAGUAUAACCGUGCGGUUAUACUUAUUUUUUAAAUAUAAAAAACACCCCCACCCAUUAAGCGCCACGUGUCAACACAUGCCUUUUUAAAAAAAAUAUUAAAAACACGGAGUAUAGCCGGGUCGGCUCUACGCUCCCUUUUUUUAAAAAAAAAAAAGAAAAAAAAGAGCCUCCAUUGUUUUAAGCCACGUGUCAAAAAAGGUAUACCCGAACGGCUAUACUGUUUUUAUUGUAAAAGUCUUUUGUAUAGCCGUGGGGCUAUACUGCUUAAUUAAAAAAUUAAUGAUAAAAAAAGGACCCUCCUACUUGCAUUGGUUUGUACCUUAUGGAUAUUAAUUUGCAACCUAUCCAAAAUAGAUAUUAAUCUUCCACUGUUUGAUAUUUUAAUAUAAUUUUUAUACCACAUGUUAUUAUUAUUCAAUAAUGCGUGAGAAUUAUUUGUAUAAUACGUGAAUUUUGUGUGUCUUAUUGAAAAUUUCCUCAAAAAUACGUGUACAAAACAUUAGAAAUACGUACGUAUAUGUACAAUACGACUAUUGUAUGUUUGCUUUUUAAAGAAAACGUGAGACGUGUAUGGAACACGAGUGUAUUGUUGAAAAAUACGUACCUACAUAUGCGGCUAUACUAUUUUAAAUAUAAAAAGGGUCCCCAAUCAUUAGGCGCCACGUGUCAGCCCAUGUAUUUUUUUAUAAAAAUUUCAAAACAGAGUAUAGCCGUGCGGCUAUACUAUUUCUAAAUAUAAAAACGUUCCCCAAUCAUUCUGCGCCAUGUGUCAGGCCAGGUAUUUUUAAAAAAAAUUUCAAAACAGAGUAUAGCCGCGCGGCUAUACUAUUUUUAAUAUAAAAAAGGACCCCAAUCAUUAGGCGCCACGUGUCAGCCCAGGUAUUUUAAAAAAAAAUUUCAAUACAGAGUAUAGCCGUGCGGCUAGACUAUUUCGAAAUAUAAAAACGUUCCCCAAUCAUUCUGCGCCACGUGUCAGCCCAUGUGUUUUUAAAAAAAUUUCAAAACAGAGUAUAGCCGUGCGGCUAUACUAUUUUUAUUAUAAAAAGUCCCCAAUCGUUAGGCGCCACGUGUCAGCCCAUGUAUUUUUAAAAAAAUUUCAAAACAGAGUAUAGCCGUGCGGCUAUACUAUUUCUAGAUAUUAAAAAGGUCCCCAGCGUCACGUGGCUGCCCAUGUUUUUAAAAUUUUUUUGAAAACUGAGUAUAGCCGUGCGGCUAUACUAUUUUUAAAUAUAAAAAACACCCCACCCAUUAAGCGCCACGUGUCAACACAUGCCUUUUUAAAAAAAAUAUUAAAAACACGGAGUAUAGCCGGUCGGCUCUACUCCCCCUUUUUUUUAAAAAAAAAAAGAAAAAAAAGAGCCUCCAUUGUUUUAAGCCACGUGUCAAAAAAGGUAUACCCGAACGGCUAUACUGUUUUUAUUGUAAAAGUCUUUUGUAUAGCCGUGGGGCUAUACUGCUUAAUUAAAAAAUUAAUGAUAAAAAAAGGACCCUCCUACUUGCAUUGGUUUGUACCUUAUGGAUAUUAAUUUGCAACCUAUCCAAAAUAGAUAUUAAUCUUCCACUGUUUGAUAUUUUAAUAUAAUUUUUAUACCACAUGUUAUUAUUAUUCAAUAAUGCGUGAGAAUUAUUUGUAUAAUACGUGAAUUUUGUGUGUCUUAUUGAAAAUUUCCUCAAAAAUACGUGUACAAAACAUUAGAAAUACGUACGUAUAUGUACAAUACGACUAUUGUAUGUUUGCUUUUUAAAGAAAACGUGAGACGUGUAUGGAACACGAGUGUAUUGUUGAAAAAUACGUACCUACAUAUGUGUGUGUGUGUGUGUGUGUGUGUACCUGAGUAUAGCCGUGCGGCUAUACUGUUUUCAAAUAUAAAAAAGCCCCCUCCCAAGCAUCAAGAGCCACGUGUCAAGUUAAAAAAAUUUCAAAACAGAGUAUAGCCGUGCGGCUAUACUAUUUUUAAUAUAAAAAAGGUCCCCAAUCAAUAGGCGCCACGUGUCAGCCCAUGUAUUUUUUUAUAAAAAUUUCAAAACAGAGUAUAGCCGUGCGGCUAUACUAUGUUUAAUAUAAAAAAGGUCCCCAAUCAUUAGGCGCCACGUGUCAGCCCAUGUAUUUUUUUAUAAAAAUUUCAAAACAAAGUAUAGCCGUGCGGCUAUACUAUUUCUAAAUAUAAAAAGGGUCCCCAAUCAUUAGGCGCCAUGUGUCAGGCCAGGUAUUUUUAAAAAAAAUUUCAAAACAGAGUAUAGCCGCGCGGCUAUACUAUUUCUAAAUAUAAAAAAGGGUCCCCAAUCAUUAGGCGCCAUGUGUCAGCCAAGGUAUUUUUCAAAAAAAUUUCAAAACGGAGUAUAGCCGUGCGGCUAUACUAUUUUUAAUAUAAAAAGGUCCCCAAUCAUUAGGCGCCACGUGUCAGCCCAGGUAUUUUUAAAAAAAUUUCAAAACAGAGUAUAGCCGUGCGGCUAUACUAUUUUUAUUAUAAAAAAGUCCCCAAUCGUUAGGCGCCACGUGUCAGCCCAUGUAUUUUUAAAAAAAUUUCAAAACAGAGUAUAGCCGUGCGGCUAUACUAUUUCUAGAUAUUAAAAAGGUCCCCAGCGUCACGUGGCUGCCCAUGUUUUUAAAAUUUUUUUGAAAACUGAGUAUAGCCGUGCGGCUAUACUAUUUUUAAAUAUAAAAAACACCCCACCCAUUAAGCGCCACGUGUCAACACAUGCCUUUUUAAAAAAAAUAUUAAAAACACGGAGUAUAGCCGGUCGGCUCUACGCUCCCUUUUUUUAAAAAAAAAAAAGAAAAAAAAGAGCCUCCAUUGUUUUAAGCCACGUGUCAAAAAAGGUAUAGCCGGCCGGCUAUACUGUUUUUAUUGUAAAAGUCUUUUGUAUAGCCGUGGGGCUAUACUGCUUAAUUAAAAAAUUAAUGAUAAAAAAGGACCCUCCUACUUGCAUUGGUUUGUACCUUAUGGAUAUUACUUUGCAACCUAUCCAAAAUAGAUAUUAAUCUUCCACUGUUUGAUAUUUUAAUAUAAUUUUUAUACCACAUGUUAUUAUUAUUCAAUAAUGCGUGAGAAUUAUUUGUAUAAUACGUGAAUUUUGUGUGUCUUAUUGAAAAUUUCCUCAAAAAUACGUGUACAAAACAUUAGAAAUACGUACGUAUAUGUACAAUACGACUAUUGUAUGUUUGCUUUUUAAAGAAAACGUGAGACGUGUAUGGAACACGAGUGUAUUGUUGAAAAAUACGUACCUACAUAUGUGUGUGUGUGUGUGUGUGUGUACCUGAGUAUAGCCGUGCGGCUAUACUGUUUUCAAAUAUAAAAAAGCCCCCUCCCAAGCAUCAAGAGCCACGUGUCAAGUUAAAAAAAUUUCAAAACAGAGUAUAGCCGUGCGGCUAUACUAUUUUUAAUAUAAAAAAGGUCCCCAAUCAAUAGGCGCCACGUGUCAGCCCAUGUAUUUUUUUAUAAAAAUUUCAAAACAGAGUAUAGCCGUGCGGCUAUACUAUGUUUAAUAUAAAAAAGGUCCCCAAUCAUUAGGCGCCACGUGUCAGCCCAUGUAUUUUUUUAUAAAAAUUUCAAAACAAAGUAUAGCCGUGCGGCUAUACUAUUUCUAAAUAUAAAAAGGGUCCCCAAUCAUUAGGCGCCAUGUGUCAGGCCAGGUAUUUUUAAAAAAAAUUUCAAAACAGAGUAUAGCCGCGCGGCUAUACUAUUUUUAAUAUAAAAAAGGACCCCAAUCAUUAGGCGCCACGUGUCAGCCCAGGUAUUUUAAAAAAAAAUUUCAAUACAGAGUAUAGCCGUGCGGCUAGACUAUUUCGAAAUAUAAAAACGUUCCCCAAUCAUUCUGCGCCACGUGUCAGCCCAUGUGUUUUUAAAAAAAUUUCAAAACAGAGUAUAGCCGUGCGGCUAUACUAUUUUUAUUAUAAAAAAGUCCCCAAUCGUUAGGCGCCACGUGUCAGCCCAUGUAUUUUUAAAAAAAUUUCAAAACAGAGUAUAGCCGUGCGGCUAUACUAUUUCUAGAUAUUAAAAAGGUCCCCAGCGUCACGUGGCUGCCCAUGUUUUUAAAAUUUUUUUGAAAACUGAGUAUAGCCGUGCGGCUAUACUAUUUUUAAAUAUAAAAAACACCCCACCCAUUAAGCGCCACGUGUCAACACAUGCCUUUUUAAAAAAAAUAUUAAAAACACGGAGUAUAGCCGGUCGGCUCUACUCCCCCUUUUUUUUAAAAAAAAAAAGAAAAAAAAGAGCCUCCAUUGUUUUAAGCCACGUGUCAAAAAAGGUAUACCCGAACGGCUAUACUGUUUUUAUUGUAAAAGUCUUUUGUAUAGCCGUGGGGCUAUACUGCUUAAUUAAAAAAUUAAUGAUAAAAAAAGGACCCUCCUACUUGCAUUGGUUUGUACCUUAUGGAUAUUAAUUUGCAACCUAUCCAAAAUAGAUAUUAAUCUUCCACUGUUUGAUAUUUUAAUAUAAUUUUUAUACCACAUGUUAUUAUUAUUCAAUAAUGCGUGAGAAUUAUUUGUAUAAUACGUGAAUUUUGUGUGUCUUAUUGAAAAUUUCCUCAAAAAUACGUGUACAAAACAUUAGAAAUACGUACGUAUAUGUACAAUACGACUAUUGUAUGUUUGCUUUUUAAAGAAAACGUGAGACGUGUAUGGAACACGAGUGUAUUGUUGAAAAAUACGUACCUACAUAUGUGUGUGUGUGUGUGUGUGUGUACCUGAGUAUAGCCGUGCGGCUAUACUGUUUUCAAAUAUAAAAAAGCCCCCUCCCAAGCAUCAAGAGCCACGUGUCAAGUUAAAAAAAUUUCAAAACAGAGUAUAGCCGUGCGGCUAUACUAUUUUUAAUAUAAAAAAGGUCCCCAAUCAAUAGGCGCCACGUGUCAGCCCAUGUAUUUUUUUAUAAAAAUUUCAAAACAGAGUAUAGCCGUGCGGCUAUACUAUGUUUAAUAUAAAAAAGGUCCCCAAUCAUUAGGCGCCACGUGUCAGCCCAUGUAUUUUUUUAUAAAAAUUUCAAAACAAAGUAUAGCCGUGCGGCUAUACUAUUUCUAAAUAUAAAAAGGGUCCCCAAUCAUUAGGCGCCAUGUGUCAGGCCAGGUAUUUUUAAAAAAAAUUUCAAAACAGAGUAUAGCCGCGCGGCUAUACUAUUUCUAAAUAUAAAAAAGGGUCCCCAAUCAUUAGGCGCCAUGUGUCAGCCAAGGUAUUUUUCAAAAAAAUUUCAAAACGGAGUAUAGCCGUGCGGCUAUACUAUUUUUAAUAUAAAAAGGUCCCCAAUCAUUAGGCGCCACGUGUCAGCCCAGGUAUUUUUAAAAAAAUUUCAAACAGAGUAUAGCCGUGCGGCUAUACUAUUUCGAAAUAUAAAAACGUUCCCCAAUCAUUCUGCGCCACGUGUCAGCCCAUGUGUUUUUAAAAAAAUUUCAAAACAGAGUAUAGCCGUGCGGCUAUACUAUUUUUAUUAUAAAAAAGUCCCCAAUCGUUAGGCGCCACGUGUCAGCCCAUGUAUUUUAAAAAAAAAUUCAAAACAGAGUAUAGCCGUCCGGCUAUACUAUUUCUAGAUAUUAAAAAGGUCCCCAGCGUCACGUGGCUGCCCAUGUUUUUAAAAUUUUUUUGAAAACUGAGUAUAGCCGUGCGGCUAUACUAUUUUUAAAUAUAAAAAACACCCCACCCAUUAAGCGCCACGUGUCAACACAUGCCUUUUUAAAAAAAAUAUUAAAAACACGGAGUAUAGCCGGUCGGCUCUACUCCCCCUUUUUUUUAAAAAAAAAAAGAAAAAAAAGAGCCUCCAUUGUUUUAAGCCACGUGUCAAAAAAGGUAUACCCGAACGGCUAUGCUGUUUUUAUUGUAAAAGUCUUUUGUAUAGCCGUGGGGCUAUACUGCUUAAUUAAAAAAUUAAUGAUAAAAAAGGACCCUCCUACUUGCAUUGGUUUGUACCUUAUGGAUAUUAAUUUGCAACCUAUCCAAAAUAGAUAUUAAUCUUCCACUGUUUGAUAUUUUAAUAUAAUUUUUAUACCACAUGUUAUUAUUAUUCAAUAAUGCGUGAGAAUUAUUUGUAUAAUACGUGAAUUUUGUGUGUCUUAUUGAAAAUUUCCUCAAAAAUACGUGUACAAAACAUUAGAAAUACGUACGUAUAUGUACAAUACGACUAUUGUAUGUUUGCUUUUUAAAGAAAACGUGAGACGUGUAUGGAACACGAGUGUAUUGUUGAAAAAUACGUACCUACAUAUGUGUGUGUGUGUGUGNNNNNNNNNNNNNNNNNNNNNNNNNNNNNNNNNNNNNNNNNNNNNNNNNNNNNNNNNNNNNNNNNNNNNNNNNNNNNNNNNNNNNNNNNNNNNNNNNNNNNNNNNNNNNNNNNNNNNNNNNNNNNNNNNNNNNNNNNNNNNNNNNNNNNNNNNNNNNNNNNNNNNNNNNNNNNNNNNNNNNNNNNNNNNNNNNNNNNNNNNNNNNNNNNNNNNNNNNNNNNNNNNNNNNNNNNNNNNNNNNNNNNNNNNNNNNNNNNNNNNNNNNNNNNNNNNNNNNNNNNNNNNNNNNNNNNNNNNNNNNNNNNNNNNNNNNNNNNNNNNNNNNNNNNNNNNNNNNNNNNNNNNNNNNNNNNNNNNNNNNNNNNNNNNNNNNNNNNNNNNNNNNNNNNNNNNNNNNNNNNNNNNNNNNNNNNNNNNNNNNNNCCGUGCGGCUAUACUAUUUCAGAAAUAUAAAAACGUUCCCCAAUCAUUCUGCGAGACAUGUAAGCCCAUGUGUUUUUAAAAAAAUUUCAAAACAGAGUAUAGCCGUGCGGCUAUACUAUUUUUAUUAUAAAAAAGUCCCCAAUCGUUAGGCGCCACGUGUCAGCCCAUGUAUUUUAAAAAAAAAUUCAAAACAGAGUAUAGCCGUCCGGCUAUACUAUUUCUAGAUAUUAAAAAGGUCCCCAGCGUCACGUGGCUGCCCAUGUUUUUAAAAUUUUUUUGAAAACUGAGUAUAGCCGUGCGGCUAUACUAUUUUUAAAUAUAAAAAACACCCCACCCAUUAAGCGCCACGUGUCAACACAUGCCUUUUUAAAAAAAAUAUUAAAAACACGGAGUAUAGCCGGUCGGCUCUACUCCCCCUUUUUUUUAAAAAAAAAAAGAAAAAAAAGAGCCUCCAUUGUUUUAAGCCACGUGUCAAAAAAGGUAUACCCGAACGGCUAUACUGUUUUUAUUGUAAAAGUCUUUUGUAUAGCCGUGGGGCUAUACUGCUUAAUUAAAAAAUUAAUGAUAAAAAAAGGACCCUCCUACUUGCAUUGGUUUGUACCUUAUGGAUAUUAAUUUGCAACCUAUCCAAAAUAGAUAUUAAUCUUCCACUGUUUGAUAUUUUAAUAUAAUUUUUAUACCACAUGUUAUUAUUAUUCAAUAAUGCGUGAGAAUUAUUUGUAUAAUACGUGAAUUUUGUGUGUCUUAUUGAAAAUUUCCUCAAAAAUACGUGUACAAAACAUUAGAAAUACGUACGUAUAUGUACAAUACGACUAUUGUAUGUUUGCUUUUUAAAGAAAACGUGAGACGUGUAUGGAACACGAGUGUAUUGUUGAAAAAUACGUACCUACAUAUGUGUGUGUGUGUGUGUACCUGAGUAUAGCCGCGCGGCUAUACUGUUUUCAAAUAUAAAAAAGCCCCCCUCCCAGGCAUCAAGAGCCACGUGUCAAGUUAAAAAAAUUUCAAAACAGAGUAUAGCCGUGCGGCUAUACUAUUUUUAAUAUAAAAAAGGUCCCCAAUCAAUAGGCGCCACGUGUCAGCCCAUGUAUUUUUUUAUAAAAAUUUCAAAACAGAGUAUAGCCGUGCGGCUAUACUAUGUUUAAUAUAAAAAAGGUCCCCAAUCAUUAGGCGCCACGUGUCAGCCCAUGUAUUUUUUUAUAAAAAUUUCAAAACAAAGUAUAGCCGUGCGGCUAUACUAUUUCUAAAUAUAAAAAGGGUCCCCAAUCAUUAGGCGCCAUGUGUCAGGCCAGGUAUUUUUAAAAAAAAUUUCAAAACAGAGUAUAGCCGCGCGGCUAUACUAUUUUUAAUAUAAAAAAGGACCCCAAUCAUUAGGCGCCACGUGUCAGCCCAGGUAUUUUAAAAAAAAAUUUCAAUACAGAGUAUAGCCGUGCGGCUAGACUAUUUCGAAAUAUAAAAACGUCCCAAUCAUUCUGCGCCACGUGUCAGCCCAUGUGUUUUUAAAAAAAUUCAAAACAGAGUAUAGCCGUGCGGCUAUACUAUUUCGAAAUAUAAAAACGUUCCCCAAUCAUUUGCGCCACGUGUCAGCCCAUGUGUUUUUAAAAAAAAUUUCAAAACAGAGUAUAGCCGUGCGGCUAUACUAUUUUUAUUAUAAAAAAGUCCCCAAUCGUUAGGCGCCACGUGUCAGCCCAUGUAUUUUAAAAAAAAAUUCAAAACAGAGUAUAGCCGUCCGGCUAUACUAUUUCUAGAUAUUAAAAAGGUCCCCAGCGUCACGUGGCUGCCCAUGUUUUUAAAAUUUUUUUGAAGACUGAGUAUAGCCGUGCGGCUAUACUAUUUUUAAAUAUAAAAAACACCCCACCCAUUAAGCGCCACGUGUCAACACAUGCCUUUUUAAAAAAAAUAUUAAAAACACGGAGUAUAGCCGGUCGGCUCUACGCUCCCUUUUUUUAAAAAAAAAAAAGAAAAAAAAGAGCCUCCAUUGUUUUAAGCCACGUGUCAAAAAAGGUAUAGCCGGCCGGCUAUACUGUUUUUAUUGUAAAAGUCUUUUGUAUAGCCGUGGGGCUAUACUGCUUAAUUAAAAAAUUAAUGAUAAAAAAGGACCCUCCUACUUGCAUUGGUUUGUACCUUAUGGAUAUUAAUUUGCAACCUAUCCAAAAUAGAUAUUAAUCUUCCACUGUUUGAUAUUUUAAUAUAAUUUUUAUACCACAUGUUAUUAUUAUUCAAUAAUGCGUGAGAAUUAUUUGUAUAAUACGUGAAUUUUGUGUGUCUUAUUGAAAAUUUCCUCAAAAAUACGUGUACAAAACAUUAGAAAUACGUACGUAUAUGUACAAUACGACUAUUGUAUGUUUGCUUUUUAAAGAAAACGUGAGACGUGUAUGGAACACGAGUGUAUUGUUGAAAAAUACGUACCUACAUAUGUGUGUGUGUGUGUGUGUGUGUGUACCUGAGUAUAGCCGUGCGGCUAUACUGUUUUCAAAUAUAAAAAAGCCCCCUCCCAAGCAUCAAGAGCCACGUGUCAAGUUAAAAAAAUUUCAAAACAGAGUAUAGCCGUGCGGCUAUACUAUUUUUAAUAUAAAAAAGGUCCCCAAUCAAUAGGCGCCACGUGUCAGCCCAUGUAUUUUUUUAUAAAAAUUUCAAAACAGAGUAUAGCCGUGCGGCUAUACUAUGUUUAAUAUAAAAAAGGUCCCCAAUCAUUAGGCGCCACGUGUCAGCCCAUGUAUUUUUUUAUAAAAAUUUCAAAACAAAGUAUAGCCGUGCGGCUAUACUAUUUCUAAAUAUAAAAAGGGUCCCCAAUCAUUAGGCGCCAUGUGUCAGGCCAGGUAUUUUUAAAAAAAAUUUCAAAACAGAGUAUAGCCGCGCGGCUAUACUAUUUUUAAUAUAAAAAAGGACCCCAAUCAUUAGGCGCCACGUGUCAGCCCAGGUAUUUUAAAAAAAAAUUUCAAUACAGAGUAUAGCCGUGCGGCUAGACUAUUUCGAAAUAUAAAAACGUUCCCCAAUCAUUCUGCGCCACGUGUCAGCCCAUGUGUUUUUAAAAAAAUUUCAAAACAGAGUAUAGCCGUGCGGCUAUACUAUUUUUAUUAUAAAAAGUCCCCAAUCGUUAGGCGCCACGUGUCAGCCCAUGUAUUUUUAAAAAAAUUUCAAAACAGAGUAUAGCCGUGCGGCUAUACUAUUUCUAGAUAUUAAAAAGGUCCCCAGCGUCACGUGGCUGCCCAUGUUUUUAAAAUUUUUUUGAAAACUGAGUAUAGCCGUGCGGCUAUACUAUUUUUAAAUAUAAAAAACACCCCACCCAUUAAGCGCCACGUGUCAACACAUGCCUUUUUAAAAAAAAUAUUAAAAACACGGAGUAUAGCCGGUCGGCUCUACUCCCCCUUUUUUUUAAAAAAAAAAAGAAAAAAAAGAGCCUCCAUUGUUUUAAGCCACGUGUCAAAAAAGGUAUACCCGAACGGCUAUACUGUUUUUAUUGUAAAAGUCUUUUGUAUAGCCGUGGGGCUAUACUGCUUAAUUAAAAAAUUAAUGAUAAAAAAGGACCCUCCUACUUGCAUUGGUUUGUACCUUAUGGAUAUUAAUUUGCAACCUAUCCAAAAUAGAUAUUAAUCUUCCACUGUUUGAUAUUUUAAUAUAAUUUUUAUACCACAUGUUAUUAUUAUUCAAUAAUGCGUGAGAAUUAUUUGUAUAAUACGUGAAUUUUGUGUGUCUUAUUGAAAAUUUCCUCAAAAAUACGUGUACAAAACAUUAGAAAUACGUACGUAUAUGUACAAUACGACUAUUGUAUGUUUGCUUUUUAAAGAAAACGUGAGACGUGUAUGGAACACGAGUGUAUUGUUGAAAAAUACGUACCUACAUAUGUGUGUGUGUGUGUGUGUGUACUGAGUAUAGCCGUGCGGCUAUACUGUUUUCAAAUAUAAAAAAGCCCCCCUCCCAAGCAUCAAGAGCCACGUGUCAAGUUAAAAAAAUUUCAAAACAGAGUAUAGCCGUGCGGCUAUACGAUUUUUAAUAUAAAAAAGGUCCCCAAUCAUUAGGCGCCACGUGUCAGCCCAUGUAUUUUUUAUAAAUAUUUCAAAACAGAGUAUAGCCGUGCGGCUAUACUAUUUUAAAUAUAAAAAGGGUCCCCAAUCAUUAGGCGCCACGUGUCAGCCCUGGUAUUUUAAAAAAAAAUUUCAAAACAGAGUAUAGCCGUGCGGCUACACUAUUUCGAAAUAUAAAAACGUUCCCCAAUCAUUCUGCGCCACGUGUCAGCCCAUGUGUUUUUAAAAAAUUUUCAAAACAGAGUAUAGCCGUGCGGCUAUACUAUUUUUAAUAUAAAAAAGGACCCCAAUCAUUAGGCGCCACGUGUCAGCCCAGGUAUUUUAAAAAAAAAUUUCAAUACAGAGUAUAGCCGUGCGGCUAGACUAUUUCGAAAUAUAAAAACGUUCCCCAAUCAUUCUGCGCCACGUGUCAGCCCAUGUGUUUUUAAAAAAAUUUCAAAACAGAGUAUAGCCGUGCGGCUAUACUAUUUUUAUUAUAAAAAAGUCCCCAAUCGUUAGGCGCCACGUGUCAGCCCAUGUAUUUUUAAAAAAAUUUCAAAACAGAGUAUAGCCGUGCGGCUAUACUAUUUCUAGAUAUUAAAAAGGUCCCCAGCGUCACGUGGCUGCCCAUGUUUUUAAAAUUUUUUUGAAAACUGAGUAUAGCCGUGCGGCUAUACUAUUUUUAAAUAUAAAAAACACCCCACCCAUUAAGCGCCACGUGUCAACACAUGCCUUUUUAAAAAAAAUAUUAAAAACACGGAGUAUAGCCGGUCGGCUCUACUCCCCCUUUUUUUUUAAAAAAAAAAGAAAAAAAAGAGCCUCCAUUGUUUUAAGCCACGUGUCAAAAAAGGUAUACCCGAACGGCUAUACUGUUUUUAUUGUAAAAGUCUUUUGUAUAGCCGUGGGGCUAUACUGCUUAAUUAAAAAAUUAAUGAUAAAAAAAGGACCCUCCUACUUGCAUUGGUUUGUACCUUAUGGAUAUUAAUUUGCAACCUAUCCAAAAUAGAUAUUAAUCUUCCACUGUUUGAUAUUUUAAUAUAAUUUUUAUACCACAUGUUAUUAUUAUUCAAUAAUGCGUGAGAAUUAUUUGUAUAAUACGUGAAUUUUGUGUGUCUUAUUGAAAAUUUCCUCAAAAAUACGUGUACAAAACAUUAGAAAUACGUACGUAUAUGUACAAUACGACUAUUGUAUGUUUGCUUUUUAAAGAAAACGUGAGACGUGUAUGGAACACGAGUGUAUUGUUGAAAAAUACGUACCUACAUAUGUGUGUGUGUGUGUGUACCUGAGUAUAGCCGCGCGGCUAUACUGUUUUCAAAUAUAAAAAAGCCCCCCUCCCAGGCAUCAAGAGCCACGUGUCAAGUUAAAAAAAUUUCAAAACAGAGUAUAGCCGUGCGGCUAUACUAUUUUUAAUAUAAAAAAGGUCCCCAAUCAUUAGGCGCCACGUGUCAGCCCAUGUAUUUUUUAUAAAUAUUUCAAAACAGAGUAUAGCCGUGCGGCUAUACUAUUUUAAAUAUAAAAAGGGUCCCCAAUCAUUAGGCGCCACGUGUCAGCCCAGGUAUUUUAAAAAAAAAUUUCAAAACAGAGUAUAGCCGUGCGGCUACACUAUUUCGAAAUAUAAAAACGUUCCCCAAUCAUUCUGCGCCACGUGUCAGCCCAUGUGUUUUUAAAAAAUUUUCAAAACAGAGUAUAGCCGUGCGGCUAUACUAUUUUUAAUAUAAAAAAGGACCCCAAUCAUUAGGCGCCACGUGUCAGCCCAGGUAUUUUAAAAAAAAAUUUCAAUACAGAGUAUAGCCGUGCGGCUAGACUAUUUCGAAAUAUAAAAACGUUCCCCAAUCAUUCUGCGCCACGUGUCAGCCCAUGUGUUUUUAAAAAAAUUUCAAAACAGAGUAUAGCCGUGCGGCUAUACUAUUUUUAUUAUAAAAAAGUCCCCAAUCGUUAGGCGCCACGUGUCAGCCCAUGUAUUUUUAAAAAAAUUUCAAAACAGAGUAUAGCCGUGCGGCUAUACUAUUUCUAGAUAUUAAAAAGGUCCCCAGCGUCACGUGGCUGCCCAUGUUUUUAAAAUUUUUUUGAAAACUGAGUAUAGCCGUGCGGCUAUACUAUUUUUAAAUAUAAAAAACACCCCACCCAUUAAGCGCCACGUGUCAACACAUGCCUUUUUAAAAAAAAUAUUAAAAACACGGAGUAUAGCCGGUCGGCUCUACUCCCCCUUUUUUUUUAAAAAAAAAAGAAAAAAAAGAGCCUCCAUUGUUUUAAGCCACGUGUCAAAAAAGGUAUACCCGAACGGCUAUACUGUUUUUAUUGUAAAAGUCUUUUGUAUAGCCGUGGGGCUAUACUGCUUAAUUAAAAAAUUAAUGAUAAAAAAAGGACCCUCCUACUUGCAUUGGUUUGUACCUUAUGGAUAUUAAUUUGCAACCUAUCCAAAAUAGAUAUUAAUCUUCCACUGUUUGAUAUUUUAAUAUAAUUUUUAUACCACAUGUUAUUAUUAUUCAAUAAUGCGUGAGAAUUAUUUGUAUAAUACGUGAAUUUUGUGUGUCUUAUUGAAAAUUUCCUCAAAAAUACGUGUACAAAACAUUAGAAAUACGUACGUAUAUGUACAAUACGACUAUUGUAUGUUUGCUUUUUAAAGAAAACGUGAGACGUGUAUGGAACACGAGUGUAUUGUUGAAAAAUACGUACCUACAUAUGUGUGUGUGUGUGUGUGUGUACUGAGUAUAGCCGUGCGGCUAUACUGUUUUCAAAUAUAAAAAAGCCCCCCUCCCAAGCAUCAAGAGCCACGUGUCAAGUUAAAAAAAUUUCAAAACAGAGUAUAGCCGUGCGGCUAUACGAUUUUUAAUAUAAAAAAGGUCCCCAAUCAAUAGGCGCCACGUGUCAGCCCAUGUAUUUUUUUAUAAAAAUUUCAAAACAGAGUAUAGCCGUGCGGCUAUACUAUGUUUAAUAUAAAAAAGGUCCCCAAUCAUUAGGCGCCACGUGUCAGCCCAUGUAUUUUUUUAUAAAAAUUUCAAAACAAAGUAUAGCCGUGCGGCUAUACUAUUUCUAAAUAUAAAAAGGGUCCCCAAUCAUUAGGCGCCAUGUGUCAGGCCAGGUAUUUUUAAAAAAAAUUUCAAAACAGAGUAUAGCCGCGCGGCUAUACUAUUUCUAAAUAUAAAAAAGGGUCCCCAAUCAUUAGGCGCCAUGUGUCAGCCAAGGUAUUUUUCAAAAAAAUUUCAAAACGGAGUAUAGCCGUGCGGCUAUACUAUUUUUAAUAUAAAAAGGUCCCCAAUCAUUAGGCGCCACGUGUCAGCCCAGGUAUUUUUAAAAAAAUUUCAAAACAGAGUAUAGCCGUGCGGCUAUACUAUUUCGAAAUAUAAAAACGUUCCCCAAUCAUUCUGCGCCACGUGUCAGCCCAUGUGUUUUUAAAAAAAUUUCAAAACAGAGUAUAGCCGUGCGGCUAUACUAUUUUUAUUAUAAAAAAGUCCCCAAUCGUUAGGCGCCACGUGUCAGCCCAUGUAUUUUAAAAAAAAAUUCAAAACAGAGUAUAGCCGUCCGGCUAUACUAUUUCUAGAUAUUAAAAAGGUCCCCAGCGUCACGUGGCUGCCCAUGUUUUUAAAAUUUUUUUGAAGACUGAGUAUAGCCGUGCGGCUAUACUAUUUUUAAAUAUAAAAAACACCCCACCCAUUAAGCGCCACGUGUCAACACAUGCCUUUUUAAAAAAAAUAUUAAAAACACGGAGUAUAGCCGGUCGGCUCUACGCUCCCUUUUUUUAAAAAAAAAAAAGAAAAAAAAGAGCCUCCAUUGUUUUAAGCCACGUGUCAAAAAAGGUAUAGCCGGCCGGCUAUACUGUUUUUAUUGUAAAAGUCUUUUGUAUAGCCGUGGGGCUAUACUGCUUAAUUAAAAAAUUAAUGAUAAAAAAGGACCCUCCUACUUGCAUUGGUUUGUACCUUAUGGAUAUUAAUUUGCAACCUAUCCAAAAUAGAUAUUAAUCUUCCACUGUUUGAUAUUUUAAUAUAAUUUUUAUACCACAUGUUAUUAUUAUUCAAUAAUGCGUGAGAAUUAUUUGUAUAAUACGUGAAUUUUGUGUGUCUUAUUGAAAAUUUCCUCAAAAAUACGUGUACAAAACAUUAGAAAUACGUACGUAUAUGUACAAUACGACUAUUGUAUGUUUGCUUUUUAAAGAAAACGUGAGACGUGUAUGGAACACGAGUGUAUUGUUGAAAAAUACGUACCUACAUAUGUGUGUGUGUGUGUGUGUGUACCUGAGUAUAGCCGUGCGGCUAUACUGUUUUCAAAUAUAAAAAAGCCCCCUCCCAAGCAUCAAGAGCCACGUGUCAAGUUAAAAAAAUUUCAAAACAGAGUAUAGCCGUGCGGCUAUACUAUUUUUAAUAUAAAAAAGGUCCCCAAUCAAUAGGCGCCACGUGUCAGCCCAUGUAUUUUUUUAUAAAAAUUUCAAAACAGAGUAUAGCCGUGCGGCUAUACUAUGUUUAAUAUAAAAAAGGUCCCCAAUCAUUAGGCGCCACGUGUCAGCCCAUGUAUUUUUUUAUAAAAAUUUCAAAACAAAGUAUAGCCGUGCGGCUAUACUAUUUCUAAAUAUAAAAAGGGUCCCCAAUCAUUAGGCGCCAUGUGUCACGCCAGGUAUUUUUAAAAAAAUUUCAAAACAGAGUAUAGCCGCGCGGCUAUACUAUUUCUAAAUAUAAAAAAGGGUCCCCAAUCAUUAGGCGCCAUGUGUCAGCCAAAGGUAUUUACAAAAAAAAUUCAAAAGGGAGUAUAUCCGUGGGGCUAUACUAUUUUUAAUAUAAUUGGGUCCCCAUUCAUUAGGCGCCACGUGUCAGCCCAGUUAUUUUUUAAAAAAUUUCCCAACAGAGUAUAGCCGUGCGGCUAUACUAUUUGGAAAUAUAAAAACGUUCCCCAAUCAUUAUGCGCCACGUGUCAGCCCAUGUGUUUUUAAAAAAAUUUCAAAACAGAGUAUAGCCGUGCGGCUAUACUAUUUUUAUUAUAAAAAAGUCCCCAAUCGUUAGGCGCCACGUGUCAGCCCAUGUAUUUUAAAAAAAAAUUCAAAACAGAGUAUAGCCGUCCGGCUAUACUAUUUCUAGAUAUUAAAAAGGUCCCCAGCGUCACGUGGCUGCCCAUGUUUUUAAAAUUUUUUUGAAGACUGAGUAUAGCCGUGCGGCUAUACUAUUUUUAAAUAUAAAAAACACCCCACCCAUUAAGCGCCACGUGUCAACACAUGCCUUUUUAAAAAAAAUAUUAAAAACACGGAGUAUAGCCGGUCGGCUCUACGCUCCCUUUUUUUAAAAAAAAAAAAGAAAAAAAAGAGCCUCCAUUGUUUUAAGCCACGUGUCAAAAAAGGUAUAGCCGGCCGGCUAUACUGUUUUUAUUGUAAAAGUCUUUUGUAUAGCCGUGGGGCUAUACUGCUUAAUUAAAAAAUUAAUGAUAAAAAAGGACCCUCCUACUUGCAUUGGUUUGUACCUUAUGGAUAUUAAUUUGCAACCUAUCCAAAAUAGAUAUUAAUCUUCCACUGUUUGAUAUUUUAAUAUAAUUUUUAUACCACAUGUUAUUAUUAUUCAAUAAUGCGUGAGAAUUAUUUGUAUAAUACGUGAAUUUUGUGUGUCUUAUUGAAAAUUUCCUCAAAAAUACGUGUACAAAACAUUAGAAAUACGUACGUAUAUGUACAAUACGACUAUUGUAUGUUUGCUUUUUAAAGAAAACGUGAGACGUGUAUGGAACACGAGUGUAUUGUUGAAAAAUACGUACCUACAUAUGUGUGUGUGUGUGUGUACCUGAGUAUAGCCGCGCGGCUAUACUGUUUUCAAAUAUAAAAAAGCCCCCCUCCCAGGCAUCAAGAGCCACGUGUCAAGUUAAAAAAAACGUGAGACGUGUAUGGAAUACGAAUGUAUUGUAGUGUCUUACUGAAAUUUUCUAAAAAAUAUGUGAAAAUUUUAAUUUAAAUAAUUAACAAAUUGGUUUUAAUUUGGAGCCCAAGAGCCCCAAGGCCCAAGGCCCAUCUUUUGAUUAAUUAAAUGUAUUAAUUAACCACUGAGCCAUCUAACUAGGCAUUUAACCUUAAGGCCAUACCCACAUGCCACUCAAUUAGGCCACUUGUAUAGCAUGUACAAACUAUUCUAUUUCCAAGAGUAAGUCUUAUAAAGACUUCCAAGGAGCUCUAUUGUUCCAAUGUGGGAACUCAAACAUGUUUGCAAUGCCUUGCAAAACCAACAAAACUAAAUUAUGCUUCAAUUUUCAAACAACACUUUCCUCAAUUUAUUCUAGAAGAUAAGAUUUCACGUCUACAUGGUGUUGACUGCAACAUAAUAUGCACACAACCUCGUCGUAUUUCUGCUGUGUCUGUUGCUGCUCGUAUAUCCUCUGAAAUGGAAGAGAAUCUUGGUGAAACUGUUGGUUAUCAGAUCUGCCUGGAAUCAAAACGUUCUGCUCGAAAAAACGUGAAUUUUGCACCACUGGAGUAUUACUUAGACAGUUGGUAAUACAAUUUUUCGAAUAUGUUUUUCAAAUACUAAAUUUCCUCAAUCUAUUUCUUAGAAAAAUUGUGCUGGCUGCAAACAUAGCAGAGAGUAGCAUCACCAUAGAUGAUGUUGUGUAUGUCAUAUGCUGUGGAAGGCCAAAGGAAACCAGUUAUGAUGCUUUAAACAAGUUGGCUUGUCUAUUACCAUCAUGGAUUUCAAAGGCUUCAGAACAUCAUGUAUAAUUUACUACCAGAAGUAACCGAAUUCAAGGUUUUACCUGUAUGUCAAACUUGUUGAGAAUCUACCAAGCUGGAUCCAUUUAUGGUUUGUCAAAAUAAACAUUUUAUUAAAUUUUAUUGCUUUGGUGAUGAUUCCAGAGGCGAGGGCGUGCUGGCCUUGUGCAGCCUGGAGUUUGUUACAGACUAUAUCCAAAAAUGAUCCAUGAUGCAAUGCUCCAAUAUCAGUUACCUGAAAUUUUCCGAACACCUUUGCAAGAGCUAUGCCUCCACAUCAAAAGUUUGCAGUUUGGAGCUGUUGGGUCUUUUUUGGCUAAGGCACUUCAGCCACCAGAUCCUCUUGCUGUUCAAAAUGCAAUCGAACUUCUCAAAACCAUUGGAGCUUUAGAUGACAUAGAGGAGCUUACUCCGCUUGGCAUGUAAGUUAUGCAACUCUCUACUGAAUAUCAGCUCUGGUAGUUGACUGACAAAUCUUACAUGACAGGUCACCAUCUUUGCACACUACCAUUGGAUCCAAACAUUGGGAAGAUGCUUCUAAUGGGUUCUAUCUUUCAAUGCCUGAAUCCUGCCUUAACAAUUGCAGCUGCCCUUGCUCAUCGUGACCCUUUUUUCCUACCAAUAAAU
rnacentral:lncRNA from 1 species